rnacentral:rRNA from 1 species
GACAGAGGGUGCGAACGUUGUUCGGAAUUACUGGGCGUAAAGCGCGUGUAGGCUGUCCGGAAAGUCGGGUGUGAAAGCCCUGGGCUCAACCUAGGAAGUGCACUCGAAACUCCCGGACUCGAGUCCCGGAGAGGAAGGUGGAAUUCUCGGUGUAGAGGUGAAAUUCGUAGAUAUCGAGAGGAACAUCGGUGGCGAAGGCGGCCUUCUGGACGGUGACUGACGCUGAGACGCGAAAGCGUGGGGAGCAAACAGG